rnacentral:rRNA from 1 species
UGUACGAGUUGAGACUCGUAGCAGAUAGCUCAGUAACACGUGGCCAAACUACCCUAUCGAGCACGAUACUCUCGGGAAACUGAGGCUAAUAGUGCAUACGACUUGGUGUCUGGAGUGACGCGAGUCAGAAAUGCUCAGGCGCGAUAGGAUGUGGCUGCGGCCGAUUAGGUAGACGGUGGGGUAACGGCCCACCGUGCCAAUAAUCGGUACGGGUUGUGAGAGCAAGAGCCCGGAGACGGUAUCUGAGACAAGAUACCGGGCCCUACGGGGCGCAGCAGGCGCGAAACCUUUACACUGCACGCGAGUGCGAUAAGGGGACUCCAAGUGCGAGGGCAUAUAGUCCUCGCUUUUYCYGACCGUAGGAUGGUCRGCGAAUAAGUGCUGGGCAAGACCGGUGCCAGCCGCCGCGGUAAUACCGGCAGCACGAGUGAUGACCGCUAUUAUUGGGCCUAAAGCGUCCGUAGCUGGCCACGCAAGUCCAUCGGGAAAUCUCUCCGCUCAACGGAGAGGCGUCCGGUGGAAACUGUGUGGCUUGGGACCGGAAGAUCCAGAGGGUACGUCUGGGGGUAGGAGUGAAAUCCCGUAAUCCGAGACGGACCACCGGUGGCGAAAGCGCUCUGGAAAGACGGAUCCGACGGUGAGGGACGAAAGCUCGGGUCACGAACCGGAUUAGAUACCCGGGUAGUCCGAGCUGUAAACGAUGUCUGCUAGGUGUGACACAGGCUACGAGCCUGUGUUGUGCCGUANGGAAGCCGUGAAGCAGACCGCCUGGGAAGUACGUCUGCAAGGAUGAAACUUAAAGGAAUUGGCGGGGGAGCACUACAACCGGAGGAGCCUGCGGUUUAAUUGGACUCAACGCCGGACAUCUCACCAGCAUCGACAGUGUGCAGUGAAAGUCAGUGUGAUGAGCUUACUGGAGCCACUGAGAGGAAGUGCAUGGCCGCCGUCAGCUCGUACCGUGAGGCGUCCUGUUAAGUCAGGCAACGAGCGAGACCCGCACCCUUAAUUGCCAGCACACCCUUGAGGUGGUUGGGUACAUUAANAGGACUGCCAGUGCCAAACUGGAGGAAGGAACGGGCAACGGUAGGUCAGUAUGCCCCGAANGUGCUGGGCUACACGCGGGCUACAAUGGUCGAG